ACCGACUUACCGCGGCUCCCACCGACUUACCGCGGCUGGCCGGGCGGUCCCGAGCGGGGCUAGGGGUGCUCUCCUGCUCCGGCAGCCCCGGAGUGGCCGUCAACUUCCCCGAGAGUGCCCUCCAGCUGCCCCAGCCCAGAACUGGAAACUGAGGGGCCACCCAUCGAUUGAGGAAUUCCUGGACACGUUGUGGUAUAUGGCUGUGCCAGAAUAUACUAUUGGGCUAUAAGAAAUGAGGAGUGGAAUGAGGAUUUCAGAAAAACCUGGCAAGACUUCUAUGAUCUGAUGCAAAGUGAAAUGAGCAGAACUAGGAGAACACUGUACACAGUAACAGCAAUAUUGUAAAAGUGACUGACUGCGAAAGACUUUAUUUAGCUCUUCUCAGCAAUCCAAUGAGCCAAGACAAUCCCAAAGGAGGACCUCUAAUGCAAAAUACUAUGCACCAGAGCAAGAACUGGUGGAGGCAUACUUUUAUUCACUUAAUUUAUUUGUUUAUUUUGGGUAGGCGUUAUGUUUUGUGUGGCUGCACAUGCAUACUCUAUAUCAAACCGCUUGCCUCCUCAAUGAGGGAGAAAAUUUGGACCUCAAAUUCCAUGUCAAAAUUGUUUUUACAUGUAAUGGGGAAAAAAUAAAAUCUUACUUUUUAAAAAGGAAACAACCAAAGCAGAUGGAUGCUUUCCCUACAAUUUAUAGUCUUAAAGAACAGUGAGAUAUAUAGUAGACUAUAAACCCCUUGUGGGCAGGGAGUGUCUUUUUUUAUCCGUGUUUCUAUCUGCACAGUUUAGCCCAACCUCUGGCACUUUGAAGGCUUAAUAAAUGUUUAUUGAC